CUUAAGACUGCGUCGUGCAAAAUAAUACAAAACGGCCGUCACAGCUAAAGGGAUAUCACCAAUACUAUUAUCAAAAUUACCAAAAAAAAUAUGUAUUGAGCACCACAAUGACUGUGUUUACAAUUCAUCGUUGGCAAAAAUUAUAAUUAUUGUCUAGUUAAAAUAACAAAAAUGUGUAAACAUGGACAAAAAUCUUAAAAUAGCACGUUCGUAUUUAGUUGAAUUUUGAUAGUAAACUGUUACAUUUUUUCACAAACUUUAAUGCAUAUCAAUCUAUAAUAAUCAUACUACAAUUUGUCGUUUUAAAAUUUUCGAAAAUGUAGCUUGGUUAUUUUAGACAUUAUUUUGUUUAAAAUUGGGCCGCUGCGCGCCCUGUUUUGAAUCAUACGCAACGUACACCGGCCGAAAGUUCAGUCGUCCACGAGAGCUCGGAGAGUGGUCACGUCUCAUCGGGAAGCGACGCGCCGAUAACGAUACUUCGCGAUCUAUUGUGUACUUAUACCUUGCCAAACGCAAACGCAAACUGUUGAAUAAGUAAAAUGGGAAAGCUUAAGGAAAAAAAUUAUAAGAAGAAAGUUGGCGCUAAUUUACGAAAAAAAAAUGUUCUCGGAAAAAGUACGUAUUUCUUUUUUUUUAAAACGGAUAUAAUCUUUUCUUCAAUUUUUGUCAAACAUUCGUUAUGGGUAUCGUGUAAUAGGUUUUAGGGGGUGGCGAUUGCAAAUCUGACAUCAAUUUUAAAAUUCAAGAUGGCGGAUGCUAGUUUUUGUCAAAUAUUCGAUAUGGGUAUCGUGUAAUAGGUUCUUGGGGGCGGCGAUUGCAAAUCUGACAUCAAUUUUAAAAUUCAAGAUGGCGGAUGCUAGUUUUUGUCAAAUAUUCGAUAUGGGUAUCGUGUAAUAGGUUCUUGGGGGCGGCGAUUGCAAAUCUGACAUCAAUUUUAAAAUUCAAGAUGGCGGAUGCUAGUUUUUGUCAAAUAUUCGAUAUGGGUAUCGUGUAAUAGGUUGUUGGGGGCGGCGAUUGCGAAUCUGACAUUAAUUUUAAAAUUCAAGAUGGCGGAUGCUAGUUUUUGUCAAAUAUUCGAUAUGGGUAUCGUGUAAUGGGUUCUUAGGGGCGGCGAUUGCAAAUCUGACAUCAAUUUUAAAAUUCAAGAUGGCGGAUGCUAGUUUUUGUCAAAUAUUCGAUAUGGGUAUCGUGUAAUAGGUUUUUGGGGGCGGCGAUUGCAAAUCUGACAUUAAUUUUAAAAUUCAAGAUGGCGGAUGCUAG
rnacentral:lncRNA from 1 species